rnacentral:rRNA from 1 species
UGCGUAGGCGGUCAGGUAAGUCUAAAGUGAAAGCUCCGGGCUUAACCCGGAAAUGGCUUUGGAUACUAUCUGGCUAGAGGGCCGGAGAGGGGACUGGAAUUCUCGGUGUAGCAGUGAAAUGCGUAGAUAUCGAGAGGAACACCAGUGGCGAAAGCGAGUCCCUGGACGGCAUCUGACGCUGAGGCACGAAAGCCAGGGUAGCAAACG